rnacentral:rRNA from 1 species
UUGAAAGGGAAACGAUUGAAGUCAGUCAUGCUGGUGGGAAUCAACUUAGGGGAAACUCUAGGUGCACUUCUUCGCUUGGCAGGUUAACGUCGAUCUUGAAUGCCAUAAAAUAAUUGGGGGAAGGUAGCUCCUUCGGGAGUGUUAUAGCCCUUGAUAGAUGUGAUGUUUGGGGUCGAGGAUUGCAACGGAUACCCUUUGGGGCUAGCCGCCUGAUCUCUAAUCGGUGUUGGGUUACGGAUAGCAUGCUGACCGUGAUCUAAUUACUGGUUAAAAGGUUAGAGUGUGCAUAAAUUCGUUAAGGAUGUUGACGUA